rnacentral:lncRNA from 1 species
CUUUUAAAGGGAAAACACAUAGCUAUUCUACUCUAGUGGAUGGAAAUAGAGUGUUCUAAUUUAAACUAAUGGUAUAGAAAGCCAAAUAAAUACCUUGAUGUCAGGCUAAAUGAGAAAAUGAUCCUACUUUUAUCCCAUAUAAUCUGUUCUUAUUAUAUGAAUGUUAUGAGUAUUUUUGCUUAGAGAUUGAUAUAUUACAAGCCAGUAAUAGAUUUUUCUUAAAAACUCCUUUUGAAGAAGAGAGAUCUAAAUUGAAACACAACCAUAGAAUGUUUAAUGAGUUGUGAGAGAUGAAGAUACCAAGAUAUUGUGAGGGACGUGUGAGCUCUAAAUGAGUUAAUAUGUGUAAAGCACUUGGUGGGGUGCCUGGCACACAGGAAGCACUGUAUUAUUGCUGCUGCUGUUCUUAUUAAGAACUUCAAGUAGCUUGCAAUCCAGUGGUAGAGAUAAACGCAUAAGCUGACAACAAGUAAUGUGAUAAAUGAUGUAAUUUAGCUAUGAUCAAAAUUCUGUGGGCAUUCCAAGGGGACAGGGUCUGCCAGGGAAUAGGGAGAGUGGCAGGAAAACAAGAUGGCACCCAGAGAUCCCACAGCUGCAGAGUGAGCACGUUGCUAGAACUAGAGCAAUGCAACCUUUUUCAGAAACACUUUAUUUGUUGGUAAAUCUUUUACUACUAAAGGCUUUACUUCUUAGAAUCCACAAUAUUUAAAGUUUCCACAGUUUCAAGCACUCCUUUGCCUCUGGUGGUUGGGGGAAGGGGGCCACUGGGCAGAAGAGCAAGGCUUUCACCAAGAUGAUAUGAGAAUGGGGAACAGGGGGAAGAGGUCUCUGAAGCUUAUGAAGAUGUGGCCCAGUACUCAAAGGAAGUUCUGGCCUCAUCUAGAAGUCCAACGAGGAUGUUCAGACUCCAGGAGGGGAAGACACAUUCCCAUCCCCCAGGCUCCUGUCCCUCUCUAGUAGAGGAGAAACAGUGGAGCACAGACUUGGUGAUGUGUACAUUGAGCAAGAGGGAAGGGGUAGGCGGUGGAGCUGUGGCCCAACUUGGCGGGCACUGCCUGAAAAAGCCCACCUUUUUCCUCCAAACCCAUGCCAGGUGUCUAGCACACUAACUCAGUGUUUCCUAAGCCAAAUGACAUGGAAGGCUGCUUAAAAGUCUACAUUCUUUACUACAGGCCAUUAACUUUAUGUAGGCAAAACAUAUUUAUGUUCCUCUGGUUCUUCAAUAAACAGAGUAGAGAAACUUUCUGUGGGUAGUUCACUCUGGGCCGGUGAAAAGAGGGCAGCUAUUCUGAUGUGAAUAACUAAUAAAACAUAUACAGAGAAAAAAAAGUUCAAAAUUAGAGGAACACUGUUGCUAGAAUUAAAUAGAUACAACUUUUUGGGAAGGCAUUUUGGCAAUAGCUAUCAAACUUGACCCAGCUAUUCCACUGUUUCACAUUUAUACUUUAUGUAUACUCCCUGACACAUGUCUAAGAACAAACAAUGCUGUAUUAUUUGAAAAAAAAAUUCAAACUGGAAACAACCUAAAUGUCCAUCGACAGGGUGCUAGUUAUGAGGUUGUCUAACAUGUAAAGCUUCCCAAUGUUACAUGAAAAAGCAAAGUUCAAAAUAAUAUGUAUAUUGUAAUCCUAGUUGUCUAACAUAUAUGUACCAUGUAUCUAAACAUUUAUAGUUACAUUUAUAAUAUUGAUAUAGAUGUAUACAUAUUAGAAAUGCUGGAAAGAUCUAGGUGGGGCAAAUUGGCAGCACAGGAACAAAUUUAAUCUGCAGGAAGAUUUGUUUAUUGGUGGUUGUUGUUUUUUCACUUAAAUGGGAAUGCCUUUAGGAGAGGCUCCCAUACAGUUCCUAUUUAUUCCUCAAUGUAUUCCCUGUUAUCUUACACUCUCUGCUUCCCUCAGUUCCUUCUGGCCCUCAGAGGCAAAUGAGGAAAGAAAUCAUGGUGGUGGGGGCAGCUGAAGGGAUGCUUUAGUCUUUCCUUUCCGUUUCAACACUGUAAGCAAACAUUACUUCAUAAUUUAAGGGAGGGUAGACUAGGAACUGCCAUCAUUUCACAUCCAUGAGAAGAAGGAAUAGAGGAAAAUAAGGAUUCUGGAAGAAGAGGCACUGAGUGGGAAGUGAUUGCUAUAGUCUAGAUAAGGAGCAAGGAGAGUUCGAACUAGCCAGUGACAGCAAGGAUAAAUUGUGAAACUCAGGUUUAAAGCCUCUUUCUGAAUCCCUUCCUGGCCACUGCAGUUAAAGGAAUGCACAGGCUCCCUCAUCCCUUCUUUCUCCACCAUGAAACAUUGCAGCCUGUGGUUGAUCACAUGGGCUGCUGGGCAGAGCUUGAUCACAUGGGCUGUUGUGCUCUAUGGGAGUCUAACUCUGCCCAUAGCACAGCCAGAGAGUCUCAUUCUCCUGUCCCUGCAAGUUAAGUUCUCACUCUUCACAGUGCUGGCACCAGCUGUGUAGGAAGCAGGAGCUGUCAGCACCAAAGGUACUAGGGAAAUCAAACCCGAAUGUCCCGGAGCCAAGGUCUACCAGAGAGUACUGUCCUGACCCAUGUCUACAACAUAGGAUCAGUGGUUUCCCCAGUUAACAUCAAGAUAAUAUUGAAAACUCUACAGUCUGCAAAGUAAAGAUUUACCUUAAAAGAAGAACAAGCAACACUUCCAAGUGAAACAUUCUUUUGUUUUUGGCAGCAGCUAAAAGUCAGACUGGUGCAAGAGUCCUGGAGGCCGUAUUUUAUCUAUUUUAUCUACUGAAAAUUCUUCAGUUGAAUGAAAUUACUUAUUUAAACAGGUUUCACUGAAUUUAGGCUGGUAUUUCAGAGACUUUCUCCUCUGUGUCUAAGCAGUGGGGAAUGGAAUAUGGUACUAAAGUGGGGAGAUUGAACCAUGAAUAAAGUCAGAUCCAUGAA